rnacentral:lncRNA from 1 species
GAUAAUAAAAUCAUGAAGCCCAAUAAGUGAGCCCAUCAUCACCCUUAAAAUAAUUAGUAAAUUUUAAUAUUAAUCACUAAUUAAAAUAAUUAGGAUUAAUAAAGAAGCCUAAAAUAAUAAUUCUUAUUGGGUUAAAUAAAUAAAUCAAACGAGGCCCAGCUAAUAUAAUACAAUAGUCCAAUUAAUUAGAAUGAGUAAGGCCCAAUCCGUUAAUAAUCCUUAGCCCAAUAGAAGAUAAUAAGGACCCAAUUAAUCAAUGCAGCUGGGCUUUUUAAUUUAUUAACACUUAGCUCAUCUCAAAUAAAUAAGCAAGGCCCGAUUAAAAUAAAAACAAGCCCAAAAAUCGGCCCAAACCCGGCCCAAAAUCCUCCCCUUUUCUUCCCCAAAUUCACGCCUCUUUAUCUCUCUCUCUACCGACAUCUCUUUCUCUUCUUUUUUUUUUUCGGUUCUCUCUCUCUCUUUUAUCAAAACACACUCACACUAAACUUUUUAAUCUUUCUCUCUCCUCACAACAAACACACGCACACACUACUUUUUUUUAUCUCUCUCUCUCUCUUCAAUCACCACACACAUACUUUAUAUAAUCUCCCUCUCUCUAUCUUUUUUUUUAAAAUAUUCCUUCUCUCCUCACAACAAAACACACGCACACACACUUUUUUUUUUAUCUCUCUCUCUCUUCAAUCACCACACACACACUUUAUAUAAUCUCCCUCUCUCUAUCUUUUCUAUCUCUCUCAUUUUUCCUCACAAACUCACGCAUCCCAUCUGCCCUCUCUUUCCAUCACGUUUCCGGCAGCGGACGAGCGCUUGCUGCUGCUGCUCCGUUCUCGCAGUGGCUAGCGGCGCUUGGCCUUCGGCAGCGCCACCCCGUGCGACGGCGUCUCGCAUCGCUUCGGGUCACGCCGCCUCGCCUCCUACCAGCCAACAGCCGUCCGUCUUGGGCCUCCGCCUGCUUUAGCUACGAGCGGUCAGUGGGCUGCUGCCACCUGCAGCACCGGCAGCUGCGACUUCGUCAACUCAGAGUGAGGCUCCGACAGACCCCCUCCCAGCUCUCACCACUUUCUCGACUCUCACUCUCUCUCCGAAGGUAAGCAAGAAGGAUUCAACUCAGAUUUGAAGAAAAGAAAGAUGGGUUCUUGGAGAAAUCUGAAAUUGUAUAAAUGUUAUGUCCUUAGGUUUUCUUGUUUCCAAAGGUUCUGUAC